rnacentral:rRNA from 1 species
GACGAACGCUGGCGGCGUGCCUAAUACAUGCAAGUCGAACGCAGUGGGGACGGGUGAGUAACACGUGGGUAACCUCCCAUCAGAGGGGAUAACACUUGGAAACAGGUGCUAAACCGAUACUGAUGGAUGGUCCCGCGGUGCAUUAGCUAGUUGGUGAGGUAAAGGCUGACCAAGGCCACGAUGCAUAGCCGACCUGAGAGGAUGAUCGGCCACACUGGAACUGGGACACGGCCCAGACUCCUACGUGAGUCGGCAGUGGGGAAUCUUCGGCAAUGGACGAAAGUCUAACCGAGAAACGCGGCGUGAGUAAAGAAGGUUUUCGGAUCGUAAAACUCUGUUGUUAGAGAAGCGGUAUCUAACCAGAAAGCCACGGCUAACUACGUGCCAGCAGCCGCGGUAAUUC